rnacentral:rRNA from 1 species
UACAGAGGCCUCGAGCGUUAGGCGGAAUCACUGGGCUUAAAGCGUGUGUAGGCGGAUCGUUAAGUACCUUGUGAAAUCCCACGGCUUAACCGUGGAACUGCUUGGUAUACUGGCGAUCUUGUGCCACCUAGGGGCGAGCGGAACAGAUGGUGGAGCGGUGAAAUGCGUAGAUAUCAUCUGGAACGCCAAUGGUGAAAACAGGUAACUGGGAGUGCGCUGACGCUGAGACACGAAAGCCAGGGGAGCGAACGGG